CAAUCAGCCCUUGACAAUUAAUAUGUAUUUCAUUCAGGGUUUAGAUCACUAUUUAAACUAUUAUUUUUUAGGGAUUCUGUUUUGCUAAAAGCUGGAAAUUGGGCUAAAAGGAUUGCUGUGAAGAGAGCUCUUAAAUCUGAAGAUCUUAUCAUAAAUCUAAUAAGUUCUGAAUUUGUUGGGCUUGAUGUUCAGCAGAAAUUUACAGUCUUUUACUUAGAACCCAAGAGGUUUGGAAAUCAAAUGACUAUGCAAAGAAAAUCUGAAACACAGAUUUCCCAUUCUAAACUUUCAGAUAGAUCUACAAUAGCAGGAUCUAAUAAAGGAAUGACUGCCAGCAAAAAACCUGGGAACCGAGAAUGCAAUCAUCCUUGUAAAAGUAAACAUACAUGUGGACAUAACUGCUGUGAGUUCCUUAAAACAAGUUUAUUUCAAGUGUUCAGAAUUGAAAGGUCUUUGGUGGAUAGUAAUGACAUCCUAAUUAUCUAUGUAUGA
rnacentral:lncRNA from 10 species